rnacentral:rRNA from 1 species
AUGAACACAUUGCAAGCGGUAGCAUCAGCAGACCAAAUGCAACAUAACCCUAACAGUUUGGAGGCCUGUAGCCUAGUUGUCGUCCACCACCAGCACAUGAUGGUCAGGAUCAGGCGUCACCGUGAUGACAGGUUGGGCAUGAGGAGGCCUGACCACAUGUUUCUUGAGGCUUUGGGAAACAACACGACAUCUCGAGACCGCCUCCUCGCGUGUGACUGCCGUUGCCCACAUGCCUUGAGUUGCAUCGCUCAGACCUGGCUUUGGAAAAAUGUCCGAUUCACCCGUUCCCACCUCCUCGCGUGUGACCGCCGCUGCCCACAUGCCUCUAGUUGCAUCGCUUGGACCUGGCUUUGGAAAAAUGGCCGAUUCACCCGUUCCCACCGAGCCAGGCCCAAAGGUGGUUUAAGGUUCGUGCGGGUUAGUAUUUUGAUGUGA